rnacentral:rRNA from 1 species
GGACUACAGGGGUAUCUAAUCCCGUUCGCUCCCCUGGCUUUCGCACCUGAGCGUCAGAAACGAGCCAGGACACUGCCUUCGCCUUUGGUGUUCUUCCGGAUCUCUACGCAUGUCACUGCUCCACCCGGAGUUCCAUGUCCCUCUCUCGCUCUCCAGUCCACCAGUUUUCGAAGUCGUUCACCGGUUAAGCCGGUGAGUGUCACUCCGAACUUGGCGAACCGCCUGCGUGCGCUUUACGCCCAAUAAUUCCGGACAACGCUCGCCCCCUACGUCUUACCGCGGCUGCUGGCAC